AUUGAACGCUGGCGGCAUGCCUUACACAUGCAAGUCGAACGGUAACAGGUCUUCGGAUGCUGACGAGUGGCGAACGGGUGAGUAAUACAUCGGAACGUGCCUAGUAGUGGGGGAUAACUACUCGAAAGAGUGGCUAAUACCGCAUGAGAUCCACGGAUGAAAGCAGGGGAUCGCAAGACCUUGUGCUACUAGAGCGGCCGAUGGCAGAUUAGGUAGUUGGUGGGAUAAAAGCUUACCAAGCCGACGAUCUGUAGCUGGUCUGAGAGGACGAUCAGCCACACUGGGACGUAGAAACGGCCCAUACUCCUACAGGAGGCAGCAGUGGGGAAUGUUGGACAAUGGGCGCAAGCCUGAGUCAGCAAUGCCGCGUGCAGGAUGAAGGCAUUCGGGUUGUAAACUGCUUUUGUACGGAACGAAAAGCCCCGGGUUAAUACCCUGGGGUCAUGACGGUACCGUAAGAAUAAGCACCGGCUAACUACGUGCCAGCCGCCGCGGUAA
rnacentral:rRNA from 1 species